rnacentral:rRNA from 1 species
GAAAGCCCCCGGCUCAACCGGGGAGGGUCAUUGGAAACUGGGAGACUUGAGUGCAGAAGAGGAGAGUGGAAUUCCAUGUGUAGCGGUGAAAUGCGUAGAUAUAUGGAGGAACACCAGUGGCGAAGGCGGCUCUCUGGUCUGUAACUGACGCUGAGGCUCGAAAGCGUGGGGAGCAAACAGGAUUAGAUACCCUGGUAGUCCACGCCGUAAACGAUGAGUGCUAAGUGUUGGAGGGUUUCCGCCCUUCAGUGCUGCAGCUAACGCAUUAAGCACUCCGCCUGGGGAGUACGACCGCAAGGUUGAAACUCAAAGGAAUUGACGGGGGCCCGCACAA